AUAAUAGAAAUCAAAUGCUGUCCUGGUUGUACUGGGCUGGAGGGAAUCCAUGUCAAAGAUGCAUUAAAGAUUGCUUUUGGUUGGAAAGGACUUUCAGAUAGAAACGAUAGUGCAUGCUCGAGAAUUCGUCAAAACAUUGUCAAAUACAUAUUCAUUCCUCGCAUUGGAUUCGGUUUGGCGUUUUGUCUGACAGAAUUUGGAUUACUAUGCGCUGACAAUGUCGAAAACCUGGGAAAUUUUUCUCCAACUUUAAAAUCAAUGGUCGCCAUCUUUGUUUUGUUGUUUCUUUAUUUGGCUGCGAUGUUAUACAAUGCUUGUUGUACGAAUAAUUUUGAAAGCAUUUCUCUCCAUAUGGGCCUUGUGGUUCUAUUCAAAAUACUUGAUUUCUUGGUGAACGGCGCUAUGCUCAUGCUAGCGUAUGAAUACACUUAUAAAACGGUUAAACCCGGAAUCGACAUCACAUUCGUUAUAUAUGUUUUCUCAUUUUGUGACGUUAUUGUUUGUGGAAUACAACUAUUUAUAUCAACUAUUUUUACCAUCCGCAAAAUUUGUUUUGAAACAGAAAAAGAAGGCAGUAGCAACGAGAUGGAUCCACUUAUGAAAAACUGCCAAUGAAAUAUUAAGUAUGUGCGCUGAUUGGACUACAUAAAAAGAAAAAAGUUUUACAGAAGAUAAUUUUUAUUUAUUACUAUUCCACAGAAGUUGAUUUCUUUUCUUUGUGUUCUUUUUUAUGUUAAGAUUUUGUUUUUUGUAUUUCUUUUAAUGAGAAUAUUUCAUAUUUAUUUCUUGGUUUAUUGUCUGUGAUAUUGCAUUGAUUGAUAUACAUUAAUUUUCUAAUUGUUUUAUACAAUAUGAAUAAGCGAAUUAUGUUGCUAACCAUCUUUUGUUUCAAAAGGAUCAUAUGUCAAUAUGUCUGUUCAAUAUGACAUUGCAAUUUUAAAAAUGCUAUCAAUAUCGCAACAAAUAUAUUCUUUAUAUAAAAAAAUCACUAAUCUGUUUUACCAAAGUAUGCAUUCUUGAUAUCAUAC
rnacentral:sRNA from 1 species